rnacentral:rRNA from 1 species
GGGAAUUUUGCGCAAUGGGGGAAACCCUGACGCAGCAACGCCGCGUGGAGGAUGAAAUCCCUUGGGAUGUAAACUCCUUUCGAUCGGGAAGAUAAUGACGGUACCGAGAGAAGAAGCCCCGGCUAACUUCGUGCCAGCAGCCGCGGUAAUACGAGGGGGGCAAGCGUUGUUCGGAAUUAUUGGGCGUAAAGGGUGCGUAGGCGGUCUGAUAAGUCUGAUGUGAAAUCUAUGGGCUCAACCCAUAGUCUGCAUUAGAAACUGUCGGGCUUGAGUAUGGGAGAGGUGAGUGGAAUUUCCGGUGUAGCGGUGAAAUGCGUAGAUAUCGGAAGGAACACCUGUGGCGAAAGCGGCUCACUGGACCAUUACUGACGCUGAUGCACGAAAGCUAGGGGAGCAAA